UUGAACAGCGGCGAAUCUCUCAUGAGGGUUCACCAGUAAAGCCAGUAGCCAUUAGGGAGUUUCAAAAAACAGAAGAUAUGAGAAGAUAUUUACAUCAAAACAGGGUUCCGGUUGAGCCAUCUUCCCUCUUGUCACUAUCAGCAAGUCACAAUCAGCUGUCACACACAGACCUGGAACUUCAUCGGAGAAGGGAGCAGUUAGUAGAGCGCACUCGGAGAGAGGCUCAGCUUGCUGCCCUGCAGUAUGAGGAGGAGAAAAUAAGGACCAAGCAGAUCCAGAGAGAUGCUGUCCUGGACUUUGUCAAAGUGAGUCGUUGGAAUGAUACUGUUCAAGCUGCUAACUGGCUAAGUGCUUAUUUGUUUGGUCAGGGCUGCUGCUUUUUAUUGUCCAUUAAAAUGUCAACCAGUUUUCUCUCUGUAAGGAAUCUUGACUAAAUAGAGUGUCUCUUUUACUUGUGUCUAUCUGCAUGAGGACAAUAGAAGUGAUUAUCUUAUUAACGGUAAAUCUGUCAUUGGACAUGUUACUUUACUAUUCAGCUGCCGUUUCCUCAGUUUCUAGUGUCAUAGUAAAGAUCAGUAAGAUGAAAGUGAAAGUGCUGUGUGAGCCAUAAAAGGCCGUGCAGAUGGAAACUGUUACUCAGACCUCUCUCCCUCUUCCUCGCUUUCGUAAAUAACAAAAGUUUGCUAGCCUCACAGACUUAAUCUUUCGCAGGAACUUUGAUUUGUUCCUUUCUGUUCUCCACACACAUUCAAUUAACAACCGCGUUAAUAUUUCUUAACAUU
rnacentral:sRNA from 1 species